rnacentral:sRNA from 1 species
CAUUUAUCAAAUUUUAUGUUAGGAGUAUGCGACCGUCCGAAGGGUGCGGUUUUGCUGUGAUGCUAUGUGACUUGGCAGCAGUUAAGUGUCACGGGGGGUGCUUGUCUUUGAAGACACUACUCUUAAAAUUGGCUUAUGGUGUGCAAAAUUUUGAUAUUUAUGCUUUGUCACUUGCUAGAAGCAAAGGAUUUUGAAAUCUGUUGAGAACUGUUGGAAGUCCCACAUCGACUAGAGAUAAGGCCAAAUGAUAAUAUAUAAGUGAGGUGCAAACCUCACCUUACAAGCCGGUUUUGUGGGGAUGAGUUAGGCAUAAACUCACUUUCUAAUAAGAACUAUAGUUAUAGUUGUUUCAAAGGUAGUAAGGAAUUAGGCAUCCUGCUGUUACUGUUUCUUAGGAUAUUCCUAAGAUUGAUUUCUUCAGUCAAGUGUCACUUUUGGACAAAGAAAAACUGGGGGAAAUUCUUGUUUCUGUCUUAGUCUAGAGCUGAAAGGACUAAAGAUUUUAUGGGA